GCUUAACGCGAAGAACCUUACCUACUCUUGACAUCUAGCGAAGAUUGCAGAGAUGCAGUUGUGCCUUCGGGAACGCUAAGACAGGUGCUGCAUGGCUGUCGUCAGCUCGUGUUGUGAAAUGUUGGGUUAAGUCCCGCAACGAGCGCAACCCUUAUCCUUAGUUGCCAGCACGUAAUGGUGGGAACUCUAGGGAGACUGCCGGUGAUAAACCGGAGGAAGGUGGGGACGACGUCAAGUCAUCAUGGCCCUUACGAGUAGGGCUACACACGUGCUACAAUGGUACGUACAGAGGGAGGCAAGCUGGCGACAGUGAGCGGAUCUCUUAAAGCGUAUCGUAGUCCGGAUCGCAGUCUGCAACUCGACUGCGUGAAGUCGGAAUCGCUAGUAAUCGCAAAUCAGAAUGUUGCGGUGAAUACGUUCCCGGGUCUUGUACACACCG
rnacentral:rRNA from 1 species